rnacentral:rRNA from 1 species
AGAGUUUGAUCAUGGCUCAGGAUGAACGCUAGCGGCAGGCUUAAUACAUGCAAGUCGUGGGGCAGCGCGGGUAGCAAUACCUGGCGGCGACCGGCAAACGGGUGCGGAACACGUACGCAACCUUCCUUUAAGCGGGGAAUAGCCCAGGGAAACUUGGAUUAAUACCCCAUAAGACAGUGGAGUGGCAUCACUCAGCUGUUAAAGCUCCGGCACUUAAAGAUGGGCGUGCGGCUGAUUAGGUAGUUGGCGGGGUAACGGCCCACCAAGCCGACGAUCAGUAACUGGUGUGAGAGCACGACCAGUCACACGGGCACUGAGACACGGGCCCGACUCCUACGGGAGGCAGCAGUAAGGAAUAUUGGUCAAUGGACGCAAGUCUGAACCAGCCAUGCCGCGUGGAGGAUGAAGGCCCUCUGGGUUGUAAACUUCUUUUAUUGGGGAAGAAACCUGACUUUUCUAAGGCAGUUGACGGUACCCGAUGAAUAAGCACCGGCUAACUCCGUGCCAGCAGCCGCGGUAAUACGGAGGGUGCAAGCGUUAUCCGGAUUCACUGGGUUUAAAGGGUGCGUAGGUGGGCAGGUAAGUCAGUGGUGAAAUCUCUGGGCUUAACCCAGAAACUGCCGUUGAUACUAUCUGUCUUGAAUAUAGUGGAGGUGAGCGGAAUAUGUCAUGUAGCGGUGAAAUGCUUAGAUAUGACAUAGAACAUCGAUUGCGAAGGCAGCUCGCUACACUAUCAUUGACACUGAGCACGAAAGCGUGGGGAUCAAACAGGAUUAGAUACCCUGGUAGUCCACGCCCUAAACGAUGGAUACUCGACAUCAGCGAUACACUGUUGGUGUCUGAGCGAAAGCAUUAAGUAUCCCACCUGGGAAGUACGACCGCAAGGUUGAAACUCAAAGGAAUUGACGGGGUCCGCACAAGCGGUGGAGCAUGGUGGUUUAAUUCGAUGAUACGCCGAGGAACCUUACCUGGGCUAG